UCGUAACAAGGUUUCCGUAGGUGAACCUGCGGAAGGAUCAUUACUGAUUUGCUUAAUUGCACCACAUGUGUUUUUCUUUGAAACAAACUUGCUUUGGCGGUGGGCCCAGCCUGCCGCCAGAGGUCUAAACUUACAACCAAUUUUUUAUCAACUUGUCACACCAGAUUAUUACUAAUAGUCAAAACUUUCAACAACGGAUCUCUUGGUUCUCGCAUCGAUGAAGAACGCAGCGAAAUGCGAUACGUAAUAUGAAUUGCAGAUAUUCGUGAAUCAUCGAAUCUUUGAACGCACAUUGCGCCCUCUGGUAUUCCGGAGGGCAUGCCUGUUUGAGCGUCGUUUCUCCCUCAAACCGCUGGGUUUGGUGUUGAGCAAUACGACUUGGGUUUGCUUGAAAGACGGUAGUGGUAAGGCGGGAUCGCUUUGACAAUGGCUUAGGUCUAACCAAAAACAUUGUUUGCGGCGGUAACGUCCACCACGUAUAUCUUCAAACUUUGACCUCAAAUCAGGUAG
rnacentral:rRNA from 1 species